UCCUGCCAUCGUGAACCGCGAAGACAGCUGCCGUCUUGGUGGCUGGCACAGAUGACCUCUGCAGAGUGGAGCUGAUGGGGCUCCAGGGACCUGGCAGGUUUCGGGGGACAGGGGGGUGCUCCGGAGGGCCGAACCGCCAGCACCCCCAGCCUCCAGGGCCGGGUGUGAGGGUGUGCAAGAGAGCAGAGCCCCCCACCCCUGAAACUCACCGAGGAACACUCUCCACCCUCUGCCCUGGUCUCCAGGUCUUCUGUCAUGUCUGUCCCAAUCUUCUGUGCUUGUCCAGGCCUCGUCUCCAAGCUCUGCCUGUCCAGCUGACCCUGAGGCGCACUGCACAACCGCAGCUUUGGAAGGCACCUCUUGUGCAGCCAGCACCGCAGCCCGGGCUGGGGACGGGCGGGGCUGUGGCCUUUGGAUGAUACCGUAUUCUCGACUCCGCACCUCCAGGGAGACCGGGAGCCUACUAAGGGAGAGUAUUUCAGAUUGCUUUUGUGGAGGCCGAAUGCCAUCUGCUCCUUAUUUCUUUGUGAAGAGACAUCUCUAGAAAGAAGUUGCUGUGGCCAAGGUCAAAGAGGUUACCACCUGUGUUCUCCUCUAGGAUUCUAAUGAUUCCCUGUCUCACACUUAAGUCUUUAAUUCAUUUUGAAUUUAUUUUCCACAAACCCAAUUUUAAAUAUUCCAGUAACCGCAUUUUA